rnacentral:rRNA from 1 species
CGAUGGCGGGGUUGGCUAGAAUGCAGUCGAACGGGUGUAGCAAUACACCAGUGGCGGACGGGUGAGUAAUGUAUCGCUAAUGUACCCCUGAGCCUGGGAUAGCUGACCGAAAGGUCAGGUAAUACCAGAUAAAAUACCCUGGUCGCAUGAUCGGGGUCUCAAAGCCGCAAGGCACUCUAGGAGCAGGCGAUAUCGUAUCAGCUCGUUGGUGAGGUAACGGCUCACCAAGGCGACGACGCGUAGCUGGUCUGAGAGGACGGCCAGCCACAUCGGGACUGAGACACUGCCCGGACUCCUACGGGGGGCUGCAGUAACGAAUCUUCCGCAAUGCACGAAAGUGUGACGGAGCGACGCCGCGUGGAGGAGAAGCCCUUCGGGGUGUAAACUCCUGUCAGGGGUUAGAAAGUUCUGAUCGACCCCAGAGGAAGGCACGGCUAACUCUGUGCCAGCAGCCGCGGUAAGACAGAGGUGCCGAGCGUUAGGCGGAAUCACUGGGCUUAAAGCGUGUGUAGGCGGAGCGUUAAGUGCCUUGUGAAAUCCCACGGCUCAACCGUGGAACUGCUGGGCAUACUGGCGUUCUUGAGCCAUCCAGGGGCAACUGGAACAAACGGUGGAGCGGUGAAAUGCGUAGAUAUCGUUUGGAACGCCAAUGGUGAAAACAGGUUGCUGGGGAUGUGCUGACGCUGAGACACGAAAGCCAGGGGAGCAAACGGGAUUAGAUACCCCGGUAGUCCUGGCCCUAAACGAUGUCCACUAGAUCCUGGUCCCGACUGAUCGGGAUCAUGGUCGAAGCAAAAGUGCUAAGUGGACCGCCUGGGAAGUACGGUCGCAAGGCUAAAACUCAAAGGAAUUGACGG